rnacentral:rRNA from 1 species
GGACUACCCGGGUAUCUAAUCCUGUUUGCUCCCCACGCUUUCGCGCCUCAGCGUCAGUCUCGGUCCAGAGAGCCGCCUUCGCCACCGGUGUUCUUCCCAAUAUCUACGAAUUUCACCUCUACACUGGGAAUUCCACUCUCCUCUCCCGAACUCCAGCAAACCCGUCUCGAGCGCACCUCCCAGGUUGAGCCCGGGGCUUUCACACUCGACAAGGUCCGCCGCCUACGCGCCCUUUACGCCCAGUAAAUCCGAACAACGCUCGCCCCCUUCGUAUUACCGCGGCUGCUGGCAC